GUAACCAAGACCUAUUGAUUUUAUACUGGAAGGUAAGAACUUUCCAGUAAAUUUAAAGGCACAUUCUUCAACAUAAAUUUACAAAUGAUCUGUCUGUGCAGGAUUUCAACAGCUCCAGUUUCUUUCAAAGAUGAUGCAUAUCUGGAAGUAUCUUACAGCAGCUGAAGUAAUUCUAGAUCUUGAAAGUGACACAAGGAGAGGCCAGGCUGCAUAAAACUCCAAAGCACGUUGUGGCUCAUCACUGUACUCAGAAAUUUCAAC